rnacentral:lncRNA from 1 species
GUAAUUAAUUGUUUUAUGUUUUGGGACCAUUUGGAAAAUAAUUGCAUGACAGUUCUCUUCGAUCUCCACAUUUCUUAAUGGUGAAUUAUUAAUCCUUAAUUGCCAUUACGAGUGUGCAAACAAUUCCGCUAACCCAACCCAAACCGACACGCCGACUUAUGCGGAUUGCAAGGGUGAGUGGGAUUGAAACAUACUUUUUUGCAAGUCGAUCAAACGAGUACUAUACGAGUUACAUUUUAAAACCCGCUUCUAAUCUGACC